rnacentral:lncRNA from 1 species
CUGGGAUGGGUCGACCUACUGAGGUAGCCAGGGAGAGGGGCCUGGCCCGUCCAGCACUGAGCUUCCUCAGAUAAGGGUGGCAGCCAGGUGACGACAGGUGGAAAAACCACAGCCAGGUGACAACAGGUGGAAAAACCACAGCCAGGGUCAGGUACCCAGAUGGCCUCUGCUCCCUUCUGUGUGGUAGCAGACCAGAAGAUCAGGACACCAGGGCCCUUGGCGACCCUCUGGAGUGGUGUGCACCUCCUUCUCUCUGCUGGGCCCAGGCAUGCGGUGCACACAGA